GGGUCCGGCGGGCGCCGGGGGUGCGCGGGGCAGCGCCAGCCGCAGCCCGAGCCCGCGGCGCAGUCCCUACCCGCUGUACACGCUGUACGCACAUAGAGACUACAGGUCGGGCUCGGAGCCGCGCAGUCGCGCGCACAGCCCGGCGUACGCGUGACACGCGCCGCCGCCCCACCGCCAGGGGGGAAGCGGCUCGGAGCACGCGUAGCGAAGCGAUGAUCUCACACACACGAGUCCGACACUGUGCCCACACACACACACACACUGCCGUUCAUCGAACACCAACACUCUGUGCGCUUAUCCGGCUCGAAGGACCAAAAGUUCACUCAGCACUGACGGACAACAAACCAAUCGAAAUGUUGAUUGUACAAAUUAUAUACGUGUAACUGUUAACUCUGCAUCGAUGAUGUAAAAACAAACAUCCAACUUCAGCCGAAAUGUUAAUUAUUUAUGUUCAUAACACGAAUUUUUAACUAAUAAAGGAAUAAAAUGUCACGACUUGGAGGUAAAUACAUAUUGGCAAUAUGCCUUGAUUAUGUACUCUGCAGUUAUCCGGCUUCGAAGGGCCAAA
rnacentral:lncRNA from 1 species